rnacentral:rRNA from 1 species
CGCGUAGGCGGCCUUCUAAGUCGAACGUGAAAUCCCCGGGCUCAACCCGGGAACUGCGUCCGAGACUGGAAGGCUUGAAUCCGGGAGAGGGAUGUGGAAUUCCAGGUGUAGCGGUGAAAUGCGUAGAUAUCUGGAGGAACAUCGGUGGCGAAGGCGGCAUCCUGGACCGGUAUUGACGCUGAGGCGCGAAAGCCAGGGGAGCAAACG